AUUGAACGCUGGCGGCAGGCCUAACACAUGCAAGUCGAACGAGUGGCGGACGGGUGAGUAAUGUCUGGGAAACUGCCUGAUGGAGGGGGAUAACUACUGGAAACGGUAGAUAAUAACGCAUACCCUGGGAUGUGCCAAGAUGGGAUUAGCUAGUAGGUGGGGUAAAGGAUAAUCUAUGCGACGAUCCCUAGCUGGUCUGAGAGGAUGCCCAGCCACACUGGAACUGAGACACGGUCCAGACUCCUACGGUAGGCAGCAGUGGGGAAUAUCGCACAAUGGGCGCAAGCCUGAUCCAGCCAUGCCGCGUGUAUGAAGAAGGCCUUCGGGUUGUAAAGUACUUUCAGCGGGGAGGCGUUACCCGCAGAAGAAGCACCGGCUAACUCCGUGCCAGCAGCCGCGGUAAUUC
rnacentral:rRNA from 1 species